rnacentral:rRNA from 1 species
GAUGAACGCUGGCGGCGUGCCUAAUACAUGCAAGUCGAGCGAACGGACGAGAAUCUUGCUUCUCUGAUGUUAGCGGCGGACGGGUGAGUAACACGUGGAUAACCUACCUAUAAGACUGGGAUAACUUCGGGAAACCGGAGCUAAUACCGGAUAAUAUUUUGAACCGCAUGGUUCAAAAGUGAACGACGGUCUUGCUGUCACUUAUAGAUGGAUCCGCGCUGCAUUAGCUAGUUGGUAAGGUAACGGCUUACCAAGGCAACGAUGCAUAGCCGACCUGAGAGGGUGAUCAGCCACACUGGAACUGAGACACGGUCCAGACUCCUACGGGAGGCAGCAGUAGGGAAUCUUCCGCAAUGGGCGAAAGCCUGACGGAGCAACGCCGCGUGAGUGAAGAAGGUCUUCGGAUCGUAAAACUCUGUUAUUAGGGAAGAACAUAUGUGUAAGUAACUGUGCACAUCUUGACGGUACCUAAUCAGAAAGCCACGGCUAACUACGUG